CCCUGAUGCCAGCCGAGUCGAGUCCAGACGUUCCCCCUCCUGGAGCGCUGCCCCACAGACGGGCGGAGCGACCGUGACCUCUGCGUCUCCACCAGCAGCAGCGUCUGUGGGGGGACGCACCCCUCCUGCUGCCGCAGCAUGACCGGGUCAAAGGUUACACUUCUGGACCGGCUCCUCUGGUCUACCAACACCUGAGAGAAGCUACAGGUAGACGGGAGACGACAUGAUACUGGGUUCCAUUAGCUCAUCCGGUUUCCUCUUUUUGGACCCAAAAGAAAUGAAUUAAUGAACUAAUGAAAGAUUCACAUGAAAGUUCUGUUGUGAGCAG
ensembl:lncRNA